CCCUUAGAUGUUCUGGGCCGCACGCGCGCUACACUGAUUCAUGCAACAAGUUUUGUCCUUGGCUGAUAGGCCUGGGUAAUCUUUGAACGUGAAUCGUGAUGGGGAUAGAUGAUUGCAAUUAUUCAUCUUCAACGAGGAAUUCCUAGUAAACGCAAGUCAUCAGCUUGCAUUGAUUACGUCCCUGCCCUUUGUACACACCGCCCGUCGCACCUACCGAUUGAAUGGUCCGGUGAAAUCUUCGGAUCUGAGAGAUGUCUGAUUAAUUUCGGACGCCUUUUGGAAAAGUUGUUUAAACCUUACCAUUUAGAGGAAGGUGANGUCGUNACA
rnacentral:rRNA from 1 species